GCAUCUGUAUUUGUAUUAAAAAAAUUACUUUCUCUUAUUUUUAGCUGACCUGUCAAAUAUAAGAAACAGAAUGCUAUUCCAGCUUUGAUGAACUAUAAAGUAAUGGUUUGAAUUUGAAAAGCUUUAUUAUUAGACAGGGAUGAUGACCUGCAGUGAGACAGCAGUAGAAAGUUACAUGUAACUGACAUCAUGACCAUUAUGGAAGAUCAGAUCAGAUGAAAAUUAUGUUUAGAAAGCCACCAAAUAUGUCUAUGAAAAGUAGAAAAAAGACAGCAAUUCUAUGUAAAGUACUUAGCAGAAGCAUUGGCUGUUUCAAUACCAAUGUCAGAGUUGGAAUUUAGUGUUUUAAUGCUGAGAGAUAGAGGAACAUUAACUGGACAAUUUAGCUUCUUUUUCAUGUGUCAUUGAAGUUUAUGUUUACCAUCUUAAAAAGCUUUUACCACAGUUAAAAUGAAUUCUAAAUACCAUGAAUACAGGCAGUUUGGAGAUUUGUGAAUUUUCUUACAAUUGGAGUUUCAAAAUGGAUUUCAUUUAAAAAAAUUAUUUAUUUCAUGGAUGAAAUUUGUCGUGUCUUUCAUGAAAUAUUUGAAAAAUCAGCAAUAUAUUUUUAGCAAUACCUAACCAAAUGAGAGAUCUACAGAUAGACAUAUGAAUUUCAGUUGAACUGUGAGGAAGGAAAUAUUCAUUAAUAAGACUUAUAUAA